CAAAUUCCAGAAUUGCCUCAAAACUCGUUUCAACACAGAAAACGCUCUUACCGUAAAUUCUCUCUCCUCGAUGUAGCUACCGUCGAUGGCAAAUCUCUCUCUUGCGCGCUCAUGCACCGUCGAAGAUAUGGUUGAGACCAGAUCUCUGGUGCAUGAGAAGGUGCGAGAAUUGGCGGUGGAGAGACCAUUCACGAAAGCAGAUGAAGUUCAGAUGGGUCCUAACCAGCUAUGCACUUUCCUGACGUUGCGGUGACGACCUUACUCCAUUUUGUAAGCGUGUACUGAGCAAAGCCAAGAAAGUGUUGACACGAAAAUUGAUCAAUUUUGAUUAUUAUCGACAAGUAACAAACUGAGUCAAUAAAUAGAAUUUGGUUAGGAUAAUGAAUAACUUUCAGAAAUUGAUAACUCUCCAAUAAAGUUUUCGACAACAAAUAUCUGAUAUUGACAAGAACCUUCACCUCAAAUGAAGUCAUUGGCAUUGGCAUGUAACUAUUGAGUAGCAAUAUUUUCCAACAUGUAACUUCCUAUAUAUAAGUGUUGCUUAAUAAUAGGAGACCACAAAGUAACUUCUUGUAAUCACAGAUGGGAUUAAGAAAUUGUUUCUUUUUUCAAAUUUAGUAAUCUUUGUAUGUACUUGCCAUAUAUAAAAUGUUGGUAGAGGGUUAUAUA